rnacentral:lncRNA from 15 species
UAAUGUCAAUACAGCAGCAAAAAUAGAUCUAUUCUUAAUGACAAUUAUGGUGUUCCAGUCCCCCACAUGUCUGAGGUUCACGUACAUGAGGCACAUGGCCACAAAACAACAACCUCACUUGAGCACGGGGAGGAAAGGGAGGCCGAGGAGCAUAAAGUCUUCCAUAAGUCUGAGGGACACACACACGAGACUCAUGGCCACAAAACAACCUCACCUGAGCACGGGGAGAAAAGGCACGAGGAGGAGGAGCAUAAAGUCUCCCACAAGUCUGAGGGACACGUACAUGAGACUCACGGCCACAAAACGUCAUCUGAGAACGGGCAGGAGAGGGAGGAGGAGAAAGAAAGAAAAGUCGAGCACACAGUUUCCCACACAUCUGAGGGACAUGGACAUGAGAUUCAUGGCCACAGAGCAGCAGCCUCAUCUGGUCACGGGCAAAAAAGGGAGGAGGAGGAGGAGAAUAGAGUCUCCCAUAAGUCUGAGGGACAUGGACAUGAGACUCAUGGCCAAAAAAAAACAACCUCUUCUGGGCAUGGGGAGGAGGAGCAUAAAGUCUCCCAUCAUUUUGAUGGACAUGGGCAUGGACAUGAGACUCAUGGUCACAAACCAACAGCCUCAUCUGGGCACGGGGAGGAACAUAAAGUAUCCCAUCAUUUUGAUGGACAUGGACAUGGACAUGGACAUGAGACUCAUGGUCACAAACCAACAACCUCAUCUGGGCACGGGGUGGAGCAUAAAGUCUCCCAUAAUUUUGAUGGACAUGGACAUGGACAUGGACAUGAGACCCAUGGCCACAGAACAACAACCUCAUCUGGCCACGGGGAGGAGGAGCAUAAAGUCUCCCACAAGUCUGAGGGACACGUACAAGAGACUCACAGCCACAAACCAACAACCUCAUCUGGGCACGGGCAUGGGCAUGAGGGAGAGCAUAAAGAAGAAAAAGCUGAAAGGAAAGGUAUCUUGGCAAUGUCCUUGUAGAUGGUGAAGUUUACUAUGCAGUGCUAAACUUUUACAGCAAGCUGAGCUUAUAGCCAAAAAAUGGGAUCCUAGAAACUGAAAUAAACAGAAAUGUCUCAGUGACAUGACUGCCUUUGGAUCAAUUGAAGCUUAAGAAUGAACCUCACAAGAUAUUUUUUGCUUAUGUUCAUGAUAAUUGUGGUGUUUCAGUCUCCCA